rnacentral:lncRNA from 1 species
AGGAAGGAAGGAAGGAAGGAAGGAAGGAAUUAGACAGAGAUUCACUUUUCCACUGUUCCUCCAAUGUCUCUGCCCACCCUUUCUUCUUAUAUUAAUUCAUAAAGUAUCGAUCUCUCCUCACUUCUGCUCACUUCAUCAAGCCCCAUUCCACAAGGUGACCAGUGUUGGCUUUAGCUUUGGAUGGCUCCUUUUGGCUCACUGCUUGAUUCAAGCAUCAUCCCAGAUCUCUGCAUAGCUGUAUCUUCCUAUCCCUCAAGUUGAAGCAUUAUCGAAAGGGUCCAUAUUGCUUGAUCUGAGCAUACUGCAAAGUGUCCUAAAAGCCAUAUGGGAGAUAGACUUCUUCGCAGCUGCAAAGGAAACAUUUGCAGAACAGAAAACACCAGAAAUCACAAUACAUUCUUAGUCAUAGUAAAAUGGAACGCACGCGAAAUAUUGAAAA